CCAGUGACUAAGUUCAACGGCCGCGGUACCCUAACCGUGCGAAGGUAGCAUAAUCACUUGUUCUUUAAAUGGGGACUUGUAUCAACGGCACCACGAGGGCUGCACUGUCUCCUUUCUUCAAUCAGUGAAACUGAUCUCCCCGUGAAGAAGCGGGGAUUAAAUUAUAAGACGAGAAGACCCCAUGGAGCUUCAAACUCACCAUACAACUCUGUGCCCCAUAUCCCCUAACACAAGAGACAUGUAUAGUAGUUUUGGGUUGGGGGGACCUCGGAGUAUAACUUAACCUCCUAAGCAAACAGGUUAAAACCUUUAUCCAUGAGAAACACCUCUAAGAAUUAUUAAAUUAAUGUAUUUGACCCGAUAAUCGAUCAAUGAACCAAGUUACCCUGGGGAUAACAGCGCAAUCUACUUCAAGAGUUCCUAUCGACAGGUAGGUUUACGACCUCGAUGUUGGAUCAGGGUAUCCCAGUGGUGCAACCGCUACUAACGGUUCGUUUGUUCAACGAUUAAAACCCUACGUGAUCUGAG
rnacentral:rRNA from 1 species